AUUGAACGCUGGCGGAAUGCUUUACACAUGCAAGUCGAACGGCAGCACGGGGGCAACCCUGGUGGCGAGUGGCGAACGGGUGAGUAACACAUCGGAACGUGCCCAGUCGUGGGGGAUAACGUAGCGAAAGCUACGCUAAUACCGCAUACGAUCUACGGAUGAAAGCGGGGAUCGCAAGACCUCGCGCGAUUGGAGCGGCCGAUGGCAGAUUAGGUAGUUGGUGGGGUAAAGGCUCACCAAGCCGACGAUCUGUAGCUGGUCUGAGAGGACGACCAGCCACACUGGGACUGAGACACGGCCCAGACUCCUACGGGAGGCAGCAGUGGGGAAUUUUGGACAAUGGGCGCAAGCCUGAUCCAGCCAUUCCGCGUGCAGGAUGAAGGCCUUGGUGUAACUAGCUUUGUUAAGUGAGGAAUAUGACGGUAACUUAU
rnacentral:rRNA from 1 species